UACGUAGGGUGCAAGCGUUGUCCGGAAUUAUUGGGCGUAAAGAGCUCGUAGGCGGUUCGUCGCGUCGGCUGUGAAAACCUGAGGCUCAACCUCAGGCCUGCAGUCGAUACGGGCGGACUUGAGUACUGCAGGGGAGACUGGAAUUCCUGGUGUAGCGGUGAAAUGCGCAGAUAUCAGGAGGAACACCAGUGGCGAAGGCGAGUCUCUGGACAUUUCCUGACGCUGAGGCACGAAAGCCAGGGGAGCAAACGGG
rnacentral:rRNA from 1 species